GACGAGGUAACUCUGAUGGCCGUGCUCAUCACUUGUAGCAACUCGGGCACGAUUAAACGAGUCGGGGAUUACGUGAUAAGCUUUGGCGAGCUCCUGGAGUGGAAAACUCCAAGUUCGCGCUUGCCGACGUCGAGCGCGAGAGGAAGCAGCAGCUUGGCAUUGUUCCCGUAUCGUUGCAGCGGCGGGUCGACGAUGAAGAACGCGUCCGGGAUCGAUCACAACAGGAAGGUGGACAUGGUGGCGAUGAUGAUGAACUCCUCGACCUCGCCAGUUCCUCCAGCUUCGUAUCACGCAGCUCAUUUCCAUCUCCAAAAGCGCAUCACGGACAACAUCACCAGCAACAGCAAAGGCUCCCGAGUUCCAUCACGGCUCCUCCGCCUCCACUCCCUCGAGCCAUUCCAGCCCCACCGUGCCGCUGGCGCCGUGUCUCCACGAGCUCUUCAGCUACGAGUCGCCAUCGCAGUUCUUCAAGGUGGUGGACAACAAGAGCACGAGUCGGGGGGUGGCGGAAUUAAGGCGCUGCAUCCAGGACAUCUGCAAGCUCCAUUUCCAGCAGCAGCACUACUCGGCUGUGACAAUCAACGGCGCAACCAUACUGGACGAGCUCGUGAGGAACUAACUAGCCAAGCCGAAUCAUCCAGGAAACUAAUGGUAAGCUCACUUUUGCUAUCGUUUUUUCUUUCUUUUUUCUGUUCAUGACUACCGUGCUGGGUUCUGGGGAGUGAUGGGAGGGCUGUGCAUCGGGAUAAUUCCUCCAUGCAUUGAGGAGUUCAAGCACCCGGGUGGCAAAACCGGAGUGGUAAUCAGUGGCCGAGAGUUACACCAGCAGGAUCUCCAGGUUAUCCAAGCGCGGCUACACAAUCGACAUCGAUGGUGCGGUGGUACCGGGAAUGAGAUCAAGUGCCUGGGCAAGCUCGCUCCCUCGAUCGAGAAGCGAGGUGUCGGCUUUGGAAUGUUUCUCCUGUCCCGGGGAUUGACAUUGAGACAACGAGGGUUCGUGUUUCUGACUUCUAACGCGUUCAUAGACUUUGAGUUCCAGCGAGUCCUUUCAGCGAUAGGUGAGAGCUUGUUCCAUGCAAUCAAAACAGGAACUACUACUUACAGCAGAACGGGUGAAUAUUCGUCUGUACUAAUCCCGUGGUGACAAAAGAAAGUUUGAAUGUACCAUUCUACAUGUUUCCA